UAGAAAAGAAACUAAUAUACAGCUUAACAGAAUUCUCUAGCCAUAAAAUACAUUUUAAAGACUGCAACUCUUCUUUAUGUAUUCGCAAAGUGUCUGCAAAUUGCAUGUGUAAACGAAUUUGGUAAUGUCAACAACUAUGCUUGUUGUGUAGCGCUAAACACUUCCAGUGAAGAAUGAAAUGAUCUUUUUCUUAUCUAAAAAUUAAUUUUGCACUAGAUGAUUUCGUUUCUUAUUCCAAAAAAAAUAAGCAAUUUGUUUGGGCAAUGUUAAAGCUUUUACUAUACUAGAUAACGGCCUGCAUCCUAGUCGAGGUCGCAUUUACAGAGCACGGUUAACUUUUCAAGAAUAAUCCUUUGAAUAAAUUGAAAUUAAAAAACACCAUAUACUUCAUCAGCCAUCACUCGUUC